AGAAUCAACGCUGGCGGCGUGCCUAACACAUGCAAGUCGAACGAGAAAGUGGAGCAGUCCAUGAGUAAAGUGGCGCACGGGUGAGUAACACGUGACUAACCUACCCUUGAGUGGGGAAUAACCUAGGGAAACCUGGGCUAAUACCGCAUAACACCUACGGGUCAAAGGAGCAAUUCGCUUAAGGAGGGGUCGCGGCAGAUUAGCUAGUUGGCGGGGUAAUGGCCCACCAAGGCAGUGAUCUGUA
rnacentral:rRNA from 1 species